AGUACGGCGGAACACGAGAAAUUCCGUCGGAAUCCGCGGGGACCAUCCCGCAAGGCUAAAUACUCCCUAGUGACCGAUAGUGAACCAGUACCGUGAGGGAAAGGUGAAAAGCACCCCGGAAGGGGAGUGAAAUAGAUCCUGAAACCGUGUGCCUACAACAAGUCAAAGCUCGUUAAUGAGUGAUGGCGUGCCUUUUGUAGAAUGAACCGGCGAGUUACGAUUGCAUGCGAGGUUAAGUCGAAGAGACGGAGCCGCAGCGAAAGCGAGUCUGAAUAGGGCGAAUGAGUAUGUAGUCGUAGACCCGAAACCAUGUGAUCUACCCAUGUCCAGGUUGAAGGUGCGGUAAAACGCACUGGAGGACCGAACCCACGUACGUUGAAAAGUGCGGGGAUGAGGUGUGGGUAGCGGAGAAAUUCCAAACGAACUUGGAGAUAGCUGGUUCUCUCCGAAAUAGCUUUAGGGCUAGCCUCGGAAUUGAGAAUGAUGGAGGUAGAGCACUGUUUGGACUAGGGGCCCAUCUCGGGUUACCGAAUUCAGAUAAACUCCGAAUGCCAUUCAUUUAUAUCCGGGAGUCAGACUGCGAGUGAUAAGAUCCGUAGUCGAAAGGGAAACAGCCCAGACCACCAGCUAAGGUCCCAAAAUAUAUGUUAAGUGGAAAAGGAUGUGGGGUUGCACAGACAACUAGGAUGUUGGCUUAGAAGCAGCCACCAUUUAAAGAGUGCGUAAUAGCUCACUAGUCGAGUGACCCUGCGCCGAAAAUGUACCGGGGCUAAACAUAUUACCGAAGCUGUGGACUACACCAUUAGGUGUAGUGGUAGGAGAGCGUUCUAAGGGCGUUGAAGGUCGAUCGUGAGGACGGCUGGAGCGCUUAGAAGUGAGAAUGCCGGUAUGAGUAGCGAAAGACAGGUGAGAAUCCUGUCCACCGUAUGACUAAGGUUUCCUGGGGAAGGCUCGUCCGCCCAGGGUUAGUCGGGACCUAAGCCGAGGCCGAUAGGCGUAGGCGAUGGACAACAGGUUGAUAUUCCUGUACCAGUUGUUUUUGUUUGAGCAAUGGAGGGACGCAGUAGGCUAAGGAAUGCAUGCGAUUGGAAGUGCAUGUCCAAGCAAUGAGUCU
rnacentral:rRNA from 1 species